rnacentral:tRNA from 4 species
GGGCGCAUAGCUCAGUUGGCUAGAGCGUUGCAUUCACAUUGCAAAGGCCCAUGGUUCAAAUCCAUGUGCGCCCA